ACCCACUAAAUUGACUGCCGGUGGAUCGAUCUCAGAGCAUCGAUCCUGGCUGUAGUGUAGACCUGCCCCUAGCUUUCUUCCAUACUAGUAAUAUACUCAUAUUUCACAUUUUUAUUUCUUUGGUAAGUAUUUAAUUUCAAGGAACAUUUGACUUUUUAAAGUAUGUAAAAAAAAAUGAACGGGAAACUUAUCACUUGAUUGUUCUUACCUCAGGUAUGCAUGAGCUCCCCAAUAAUAAAGCAGCUGUCACAGUGACGCCUUAUAUCGUAUUACAGAAUAGUGGGCUGAUUUCCCAAAGUAUUGGAAUCAAUACUCAGCACCUUUGAAAAUCAAGCCAUAAAGAAUUACAUAUUGCACCACUGCAAAGUUCUUUGCCUUACACUUUUAACCAUAUACAAACACGUUUAUAGUUUAUCUUUGCUAGUAUAUUUGAGUAUAAAGUGACAACAGUGAGGUUAGGUUUAGUGAUUAAACAAAAAAUCAAAUUGACAGUUCCUCAAUAGACUUUCAUCAUUUUAUUAUUUAAAUGGACUUUUCUUUCAUUUGGAUAUACAUUUUCUCCUGUAAUACUGCAUCAUUUUGAUACUGCCUGAGACAGAGAGAACAAAACCGAGGAGAGAGAAGACUAAAACUGACUAAUCUGGUUUUACUAGCCAAGCCAAGUGAAACGUAAAAGGUAAUAGCAUAAAUAGUUAAACAAGAAGUGCUAGAUUAUUUACCUUUUUCAUUUGUACUAACUAGUUAGUAACUGGACUUGUUUCCUAAGAAAAUAUUUUUAACCUGCGUAUCAAAUUGAACUUCAACUUUGGCCAGAAAGAGCACCGUGUGUCAGCAUAGCAUUUCUGAAGGGACAUCACAACUAGCAGCUAGACUGACAGUUACACAGACCCAGCAGCUACAGGGUCUCUUCCUAGAAACAACAAGAAACAAAGCCUGGAGUUGACCACAUCUCCCGGGGAGCAAUUACUUCUUAAUAAGCUUCCUGAGCUUGUUUAUGUUCCCUUCUAGCUAAGGUCUUUCUGACCACGGGGUAAUAAUUUGAUAACAAGAAAUCCUGAUUAAAUUAAGAGGCCAUUUGCUAGAGCAUAAUGUCUCAGUAGGUAAGAGAUUUGCUUUGCAGGAGAUGCUCUUGCUGCUCUGAGCUGCAUAUAUGUCUGGUUGUUUAAAAGCCAACCCAAACAACCUUUACCUUUUAAAUAGGAUUAUUAGUAACCAAUUCACUGAGACUAGACUGACAUCUUGACAUUUUUUCUGUCAUUUAAAAAACCAAGCAGUCUCUCUCUCAGAGGCAGAGAUUCUGUGGUGUGGAUAUGUGAAAUACAGUAUGUACAGAACUGGACUGGUGAUAUUGCAGAGAUAAGCCUAUCUUCAUCCAUCACUUUUGAUAACAGGGCCUAACUAGAUCUACAGGCAUCCAUCUGGUCAUGUCCUAUUGAUCUUAAGAGAUUCACCAGUUCCACUCCAGUAUCAUCCUCCUCCUUCUUUAAUGGUCCCUCUGUGAGAACAGGGCUGUUAAGAGCAGAAAAUUAUACAAAAAGCAGAAUAUGCACAAUAAAGUCUCCAAAAACAUGGGAAACUGGUGAAAUAAGAGGAAGCAGAUGAGCCUAAGAUGUGAUGUAGAAAAAAUAAGGAUAUUUACAAAAGCAGUGUUAGAUGACAUAACUGGGAGGCGGGGAGUUUAACGCAUUUUAAAAUAUACAAUAUAUUGUUCACAUCAAAAAUCUCCCUAGGAUUUAUGGCAAUACCAAUGGUUGGAUUGUUCUGUACUGUUGUGCUGUCAGCACAGAGAAAGCAAAGGGUCUAUGUCAGAUAUAAUAAUUGGUCUCUGACCACACCUAGUCCAUUAGUACUGGUGCAGGCUGUAAAUACAACCUCAUUACUCCUGACUCUUCGGAUUAGCAGACCAGAAGGGGAUCAAACUACAGCACCAACCUUUUAGAAGCCAGAAAUUCAAGAGAAAGCUGCAGAACAAAAGCAGAUAGAAACAGAAACUUCAAGAAGUAAAUCCAGUCAUCUAUCCCACGAUCAGGAUACUUUAGUGUGGAGCAGAGUGUGAGACAACCGCAGAAAUCCCAUCUGGCUUGUGGUGCUUGGACGAACCAUGCAGGAGUCCUUCGCUGUCCACUUCCUGAAAGUGCUGAAGGAGCUCCUGGCCUUCGUGCUGUUCAGUUACACGGUGCUGAUUGGAGCACUGCUCCUGGCUGGCUGGACAACUUACUUUUUGGUGCUUAAGUGACAGCUCCCCUCUAUCUUCUCUGGCUACAGACUAGUCCAGAAUGUGCAACAGUCACCACCAAGUACCCUGCAGCUGGCGUCUGCUCAACAAAUAGAAUGUCAGUUCCUUUUGGCUCCACAAACUUUGCAAGUCUUUGUUUUAUUAUUGGCUAAAUACAAUCUUAUUUUCUUAUGUAAAACAAAAAAUGAUUAAAAAACACCUUGCUGACCCCCA